GGGUUGUGAGGUUAAGCGACUAAGCGUACACGGUGGAUGCCCUGGCAGUCAGAGGCGAUGAAGGACGUGCUAAUCUGCGAUAAGCGUCGGUGAGGUGAUAUGAACCGUUAUAACCGGCGAUUUCCGAAUGGGGAAACCCAGUGUGAUUCGUCACACUAUCAUUAACUGAAUCCAUAGGUUAAUGAGGCGAACCGGGGGAACUGAAACAUCUAAGUACCCCGAGGAAAAGAAAUCAACCGAGAUUCCCCCAGUAGCGGCGAGCGAACGGGGAGCAGCCCAGAGCCUGAAUCAGUGUGUGUGUUAGUGGAAGCGUCUGGAAAGGCGCGCGAUACAGGGUGACAGCCCCGUACACAAAAAUGCACAUACUGUGAGCUCGAUGAGUAGGGCGGGACACGUGGUAUCCUGUCUGAAUAUGGGGGGACCAUCCUCCAAGGCUAAAUACUCCUGACUGACCGAUAGUGAACCAGUACCGUGAGGGAAAGGCGAAAAGAACCCCGGCGAGGGGAGUGAAAAAGAACCUGAAACCGUGUACGUACAAGCAGUGGGAGCACGCUUCGGCGUGUGACUGCGUACCUUUUGUAUAAUGGGUCAGCGACUUAUAUUCUGUAGCAAGGUUAACCGAAUAGGGGAGCCGAAGGGAAACCGAGUCUUAACUGGGCGUUAAGUUGCAGGGUAUAGACCCGAAACCCGGUGAUCUAGCCAUGGGCAGGUUGAAGGUUGGGUAACACUAACUGGAGGACCGAACCGACUAAUGUUGAAAAAUUAGCGGAUGACUUGUGGCUGGGGGUGAAAGGCCAAUCAAACCGGGAGAUAGCUGGUUCUCCCCGAAAGCUAUUUAGGUAGCGCCUCGUGAAUUCAUCUCCGGGGGUAGAGCACUGUUUCGGCAAGGGGGUCAUCCCGACUUACCAACCCGAUGCAAACUGCGAAUACCGGAGAAUGUUAUCACGGGAGACACACGGCGGGUGCUAACGUCCGUCGUGAAGAGGGAAACAACCCAGACCGCCAGCUAAGGUCCCAAAGUCAUGGUUAAGUGGGAAACGAUGUGGGAAGGCCCAGACAGCCAGGAUGUUGGCUUAGAAGCAGCCAUCAUUUAAAGAAAGCGUAAUAGCUCACUGGUCGAGUCGGCCUGCGCGGAAGAUGUAACGGGGCUAAACCAUGCACCGAAGCUGCGGCAGCGACGCUUAUGCGUUGUUGGGUAGGGGAGCGUUCUGUAAGCCUGUGAAGGUGUACUGUGAGGUAUGCUGGAGGUAUCAGAAGUGCGAAUGCUGACAUAAGUAACGAUAAAGCGGGUGAAAAGCCCGCUCGCCGGAAGACCAAGGGUUCCUGUCCAACGUUAAUCGGGGCAGGGUGAGUCGACCCCUAAGGCGAGGCCGAAAGGCGUAGUCGAUGGGAAACAGGUUAAUAUUCCUGUACUUGGUGUUACUGCGAAGGGGGGACGGAGAAGGCUAUGUUGGCCGGGCGACGGUUGUCCCGGUUUAAGCGUGUAGGCUGGUUUUCCAGGCAAAUCCGGAAAAUCAAGGCUGAGGCGUGAUGACGAGGCACUACGGUGCUGAAGCAACAAAUGCCCUGCUUCCAGGAAAAGCCUCUAAGCAUCAGGUAACAUUAAAUCGUACCCCAAACCGACACAGGUGGUCAGGUAGAGAAUACCAAGGCGCUUGAGAGAACUCGGGUGAAGGAACUAGGCAAAAUGGUGCCGUAACUUCGGGAGAAGGCACGCUGAUACGUAGGUGAAGUCCCUCGCGGAUGGAGCUGAAAUCAGUCGAAGAUACCAGCUGGCUGCAACUGUUUAUUAAAAACACAGCACUGUGCAAACACGAAAGUGGACGUAUACGGUGUGACGCCUGCCCGGUGCCGGAAGGUUAAUUGAUGGGGUCAGCGCAAGCGAAGCUCUUGAUCGAAGCCCCGGUAAACGGCGGCCGUAACUAUAACGGUCCUAAGGUAGCGAAAUUCCUUGUCGGGUAAGUUCCGACCUGCACGAAUGGCGUAAUGAUGGCCAGGCUGUCUCCACCCGAGACUCAGUGAAAUUGAACUCGCUGUGAAGAUGCAGUGUACCCGCGGCAAGACGGAAAGACCCCGUGAACCUUUACUAUAGCUUGACACUGAACAUUGAGCCUUGAUGUGUAGGAUAGGUGGGAGGCUUUGAAGUGUGGACGCCAGUCUGCAUGGAGCCGACCUUGAAAUACCACCCUUUAAUGUUUGAUGUUCUAACGUAGACCCGUGAUCCGGGUUGCGGACAGUGUCUGGUGGGUAGUUUGACUGGGGCGGUCUCCUCCUAAAGAGUAACGGAGGAGCACGAAGGUUGGCUAAUCCUGGUCGGACAUCAGGAGGUUAGUGCAAUGGCAUAAGCCAGCUUGACUGCGAGCGUGACGGCGCGAGCAGGUGCGAAAGCAGGUCAUAGUGAUCCGGUGGUUCUGAAUGGAAGGGCCAUCGCUCAACGGAUAAAAGGUACUCCGGGGAUAACAGGCUGAUACCGCCCAAGAGUUCAUAUCGACGGCGGUGUUUGGCACCUCGAUGUCGGCUCAUCACAUCCUGGGGCUGAAGUAGGUCCCAAGGGUAUGGCUGUUCGCCAUUUAAAGUGGUACGCGAGCUGGGUUUAGAACGUCGUGAGACAGUUCGGUCCCUAUCUGCCGUGGGCGCUGGAGAACUGAGGGGGGCUGCUCCUAGUACGAGAGGACCGGAGUGGACGCAUCACUGGUGUUCGGGUUGUCAUGCCAAUGGCACUGCCCGGUAGCUAAAUGCGGAAGAGAUAAGUGCUGAAAGCAUCUAAGCACGAAACUUGCCCCGAGAUGAGUUCUCCCUGACCCUUUAAGGGUCCUGAAGGAACGUUGAAGACGACGACGUUGAUAGGCCGGGUGUGUAAGCGCAGCGAUGCGUUGAGCUAACCGGUACUAAUGAACCGUGAGGCUUAACCUUACAACGCCGAAGGUGUUU
rnacentral:rRNA from 1 species